UGAGCUAAAAUCAAGGGUCCAAUGAUGCUUAACCGACUGAGCCACCCAGACGCCCCGAGGGCAGGUGAUUCCUAUCCUCAGGGAGGUUUGGGAAACACUGGUACAACGCGAGUGGUAGCUAGAAGUUUCCUACACUUAGUAACGUCUGUAGCAAAUUCUCUGCAGGUGAAACCAAAUGAGACGGCCAAGUGUAAGACAACCUGAGGAAAACAUCUUGUCUUUCCUCUUUUUAUUACAAACUGUGUCUUAGGACUUUCAAGUAAGCUACUUAGCAUGCGCAUUUGGCCCCAGUCUCUCCUUGUUAGGCGUUUCUUCCAAAUCUAUAGGACCGAGGCGUGUGUAUUAUUGCAUUAAUUAAGAAAAAAACUGAUCUGAUGCGUGAGAAUUGCUUCUCUUGAGAAUCCAUGUUAUUUCAAUAAUCCAAUCAAGAGCCUAAUUCAUACAGAAGAAACGCUGAGACGGCUUUCCUCGCCUUUCGUCUAAAAUCAUUUCAUCUUGAGUGUUAUCGGACCGUUCGGAGGAAAUUAUUUCCGAGAUAUAUAUAAUUUUUGACUAAAAAGCUGCCUCUCGGACCAGUUCCAUCACUACAGCAGGACAGUGUCCCAACAGCCUCUCCUGGAAGGAGUUUUCCCAGCUCCUCGGCAUCUUCUGUGAUGGGCUGAAUGGCGAGGAGGCUAAGCUGAUGGGUGAAGUGACUUCCGUGAGAACCCACAUUACCGCAAUUACCCAAUCCAGAUCCUACCUCCUACAAGAGACACUCCAAGAGCCGCGUUUGGUGUUUCCCUGGAAGCGAGUUGGCUGUUGGUUGUCAAGGAGAUUCACUUCAUCAGACGAGACUCCUCAUGACCUCAGCUUUUGAGGUGAUACCCAGGGGAGCUGGUUGCUGAGAAGAUGGCAGGAAGGGUUUCCACAGAGUUUUUAUAAAUGCAACUCACUGGAUUUGAAGAUCAAGACACAUGGCUUCCUGAGGUCACCUAAAAAGCUUCUCCCACAAGGACGCGGUCUGUUUGAGUAUCUGGAGGAUAAGGUUACCAAAAGAGCGCCCUGCGAAAGCCUCUUCACACUCGCUACUGGGCUCCAUUAUCCUCACCAGCCUGGGAUCGGUGACUCCAGUUAUGGGCACUGCCGUCACAAUCGGAGCUUAAGACAACCUAUAUAGUGGUCAUCGUCGGGAUCGUACUCGUUUUUCUGACUAUCUCUGGAAGUAUCAACAUGCUUCCAGAGAUCCUUUGGAGCACAAGAAGCAGCUGAGAACAUCCACCUUGUCUUGUAUCAGGUUCCACCUCAA